rnacentral:rRNA from 1 species
UACGUAGGGUGCGAGCGUUAAUCGGAAUUACUGGGCGUAAAGCGUGCGCAGGCGGUUCGCUAAGACCGAUGUGAAAUCCCCGGGCUCAACCUGGGAACUGCAUUGGUGACUGGCGGGCUAGAGUAUGGCAGAGGGGGGUGGAAUUCCACGUGUAGCAGUGAAAUGCGUAGAGAUGUGGAGGAACACCGAUGGCGAAGGCAGCCCCCUGGGCCAAUACUGACGCUGAGACGCGAAAGCGUGGGGAGCGAACAGG